rnacentral:rRNA from 1 species
AUGGAGACGAAAGUGGCAUGUAUGUCAAGAACAAUAGUCACAUUUCAAAUCCAUUUAGCACCCACUCGCAUACACUGGUAUUCAAAGAAGACAAGUUACUUCCAUUACAAAAUGACACUUGCUUCUGCAUGUGCUUGUCCAAAUAAGAGCAGAAACCCUGGCCUAAACCAAACAACACCAUGUGAAACAAGUCUGUCCUCAUCUACUGAUUCCAACAUCUACUCUGAAAUUUACAUUAGUUCCAUCGUUUUGUCCAGGAAAUCCAAUUUUGCCCCCAUUCAAGAUAUUCACACUUCUCUAACAAAACACAAGCAAAAUAUUGAAGAGAUCAAGACUGGGAAGUAA